rnacentral:rRNA from 1 species
UACGUAGGCAGCGAGCGUUGUUCGGAAUUACUGGGCGUAAAGAGUGUGUAGGCGGUGCUCUAAGUUCGGUGUGAAAUCUCCUGGCUCAACCGGGAGGGUGCGCCGGAAACUGGAGUGCUUGAGCGUGGGAGAGGAAAGCGGAAUUCCUGGUGUAGCGGUGAAAUGCGUAGAUAUCAGGAGGAACACCUGUGGUGUAGACGGCUUUCUGGACCAUAGCUGACGCUGAGACACGAAAGCGUGGGUAGCAAACAGG